GCCUAAUACUGCAGUCGAACGAGUUCUCGUUGAUGAUCGGUGCUUGCACCGAGAUUCAACAUGGAACGAGUGGCGGACGGGUGAGUAACACGUGGGUAACCUGCCCUUAAGUGGGGGAUAACAUUUGGAAACAGAUGCUAAUACCGCAUAGAUCCAAGAACCGCAUGGUUCUUGGCUGAAAGAUGGCGUAAGCUAUCGCUUUUGGAUGGACCCGCGGCGUAUUAGCUAGUUGGUGAGGUAAUGGCUCACCAAGGCGAUGAUACGUAGCCGAACUGAGAGGUUGAUCGGCCACAUUGGGACUGAGACACGGCCCAAACUCCUACGGGAGGCAGCAGUAGGGAAUCUUCCACAAUGGACGCAAGUCUGAUGGAGCAACGCCGCGUGAGUGAAGAAGGCUUUCGGGUCGUAAAACUCUGUUGUUGGAGAAGAAUGGUCGGCAGAGUAACUGUUGUCGGCGUGACGGUAUCCAACCAGAAAGCCACGGCUAACUACGUGCCAGCAGCCGCGGUAAUACGUAGGUGGCAAGCGUUAUCCGGAUUUAUUGGGCGUAAAGCGAGCGCAGGCGGUUUUUUAAGUCUGAUGUGAAAGCCCUCGGCUUAACCGAGGAAGCGCAUCGGAAACUGGGAAACUUGAGUGCAGAAGAGGACAGUGGAACUCCAUGUGUAGCGGUGAAAUGCGUAGAUAUAUGGAAGAACACCAGUGGCGAAGGCGGCUGUCUGGUCUGUAACUGACGCUGAGGCUCGAAAGCAUGGGUAGCGAACAGGAUUAGAUACCCUGGUAGUCCAUGCCGUAAACGAUGAAUGCUAGGUGUUGGAGGGUUUCCGCCCUUCAGUGCCGCAGCUAACGCAUUAAGCAUUCCGCCUGGGGAGUACGACCGCAAGGUUGAAACUCAAAGGAAUUGACGGGGGCCCGCACAAGCGGUGGAGCAUGUGGUUUAAUUCGAAGCAACGCGAAGAACCUUACCAGGUCUUGACAUCUUUUGAUCACCUGAGAGAUCAGGUUUCCCCUUCGGGGGCAAAAUGACAGGUGGUGCAUGGUUGUCGUCAGCUCGUGUCGUGAGAUGUUGGGUUAAGUCCCGCAACGAGCGCAACCCUUAUGACUAGUUGCCAGCAUUUAGUUGGGCACUCUAGUAAGACUGCCGGUGACAAACCGGAGGAAGGUGGGGAUGACGUCAAAUCAUCAUGCCCCUUAUGACC
rnacentral:rRNA from 1 species